ACUCUCCAAUAAUUACACAGGCCUUCAGUGCCAGAUUGGGACAGCUGAGGCACCCAACUUCAUGAACUGAGUACCUAUCAGAACCCCAGCCUCUCCAGCAUGCUGGUGACCAUUGUUGGAUUAUCCAGCUCCUAUUGUGGACGGAUGGGAUAGGCAUUUCUCGUGAAAGAAUUGCCAACCCAGGAAGAAGAAGCAAUGAAGAAUUACAGCACAUUUUCAGAACACACAAUGGUCAUAGUGGAGCUAAUUCAUGCAAAAAAAAUGUGAAAAUGAUGAGUGAAAUACUUUGGGAGCUUUUAACGAAGAGAAUAUAAUGGUAAAGUUUGGCUGGUU